AAUCAACGCUGGCGGCGUGCCUAACACAUGCAAGUCGAACGAGAAAGUGGAGCAAUCCAUGAGUACAGUGGCGACCGGGUGAGUAACACGUGACUAACCUACCCUGGAGUGGGGAAUAACCUUCCGACAGGAGGGCUAAUACCGCAUAACGUCCUGUGGCUGAUAUGCCGUAAGACGAAAGGAGCAAUACGGUUUGGGAGGGGGUCGCGGCAGAUUAGCUAGUUGGUGAGGUAACGGCGCACCAAGGAAGUGAUCUGUAGCCGGCCUGAGAGGGCGCACGGCCACACUGGAACUGAAACACGGGCCAGACUCCUACGGGAGGCAGCAGUGGGGAAUUUUGCGCAAUGGGGGAAACCCUGACGCAGCAACGCCGCGUGGAGGAUGAAGGUCUUUGGAUUGUAAACUCCUUUCGAUCGGGACGAUUAUGACGGUACCGGAAGAAGAAGCCCCGGCUAACUUCGUGCCAGCAGCCGCCGUAACAC
rnacentral:rRNA from 1 species